rnacentral:rRNA from 1 species
GACCAGACUCCUACGGGAGGCAGCAGUGAGGAAUAUUGGUCAAUGGACGCAAGUCUGAACCAGCCAUGCCGCGUGCAGGAAGACGGCUCUAUGAGUUGUAAACUGCUUUUGUACGAGGGUAAAUGCAGGUACGUGUAUCUGUUUGAAAGUAUCGUACGAAUAAGGAUCGGCUAACUCCGUGCCAGCAGCCGCGGUAAUACGGAGGAUGCGAGCGUUAUCCGGAUUUAUUGGGUUUAAAGGGUGCGUAGGCGGAAUGCAAAGGCGGGGGUAAUUGGGGGGGCUCACCCUCGCUCCGCCGUUGAAACUGGCGUUCUUGAGUGGGCGAGAAGUAUGCGGAAUGCGUGGUGUAGCGGUGAAAUGCAUAGAUAUCACGCAGAACUCCGAUUGCGAAGGCAGCAUACCGGCGCCCUACUGACGCUGAGGCACGAAAGCGUGGGUAUCGAACAGGAUUAGAUACCCCUGUAA